CAACAGGGAUUGCCCUAGUAACGGCGAGUGAAGCGGCAACAGCUCAAAUUUGAAAUCUGGCUCUCGGGCCCGAGUUGUAAUUUGUAGAGGAUACUUUUGAUGCGGUGCCUUCCGAGUUCCCUGGAACGGGACGCCAUAGAGGGUGAGAGCCCCGUCUGGUUGGAUGCCAAAUCUCUGUAAAGUUCCUUCGACGAGUCGAGUAGUUUGGGAAUGCUGCUCUAAAUGGGAGGUAUAUGUCUUCUAAAGCUAAAUACCGGCCAGAGACCGAUAGCGCACAAGUAGAGUGAUCGAAAGAUGAAAAGCACUUUGAAAAGAGAGUUAAAAAGUACGUGAAAUUGUUGAAAGGGAAGCGUUUAUGACCAGACUUGGGCUUGGUUAAUCAUCUGGGGUUCUCCCCAGUGCACUUUUCCAGUCCAGGCCAGCAUCAGUUUUCGCCGGGGGAUAAAGACUUCGGGAAUGUGGCUCUCUUCGGGGAGUGUUAUAGCCCGUUGUGUAAUACCCUGGCGGGGACUGAGGUUCGCGCAUCUGCAAGGAU
rnacentral:rRNA from 3 species